rnacentral:rRNA from 1 species
AGAGUUUGAUCAUGGCUCAGGAUGAACGCUGGCGGCGCGCUUAACACAUGCAAGUCGAACGAUUAAAGCACCUUCGGGUGUGUAUAAAGUGGCGAACGGCUGAGUAACACAUGAGCAACCUGCCCCACACUCCGGGAUAGCCUCGGGAAACCGUGAUUAAUACCGGAUAUUCCUUUUCUAACUCAUGUUAGAUUAGGGAAAGCGUAUACGGUGUGGGAUGGGCUCGCGGCCCAUUAGAUAGUUGGCGGGGUAACGGCCCACCAAGUCCACGAUGGGUAGCCGGGUUGAGAGACCGACCGGCCAGAUUGGGACUGAGACACGGCCCAGACUCCUACGGGAGGCAGCAGUGGGGAAUCUUGCGCAAUGGGGGCAACCCUGACGCAGCGACGCCGCGUGCGGGAUGAAGGCUUUCGAGUUGUAAACCGCUUUCAGCAGGGAUGAGACAAGACAGUACCUGCAUAAGAAGCCCCGGCUAACUACGUGCCAGCAGCCGCGGUAAUACGUAGGGGGCGAGCGUUAUCCGGAUUCAUUGGGCGUAAAGCGCGCGUAGGCGGCUUGUCAGGUCGGGAGUUAAAUCCGGGAGCUCAACUCCCGCCCGCUCCCGAAACCGGCAGGCUUGAGUCUGGUAGGGGAAGGUGGAAUUCCUAGUGUAGCGGUGGAAUGCGCAGAUAUUAGGAAGAACACCAGUGGCGAGGGCGGCCUUCUGGGCCACGACUGACGCUGAGGCGCGAAAGCUAGGGGAGCAAACAGGAUUAGAUACCCUGGUAGU